rnacentral:rRNA from 1 species
GAUCAGCGAGCCAUAGAGAAUAAAUGGAUCUUCAAGAAGAAGACUGACGCUGAUGGUAAUGUUACUGUCUACAAAGCUCGACUUGUCGCAAAAGGUUUUCGACAAGUUCAAGAAGUUGACUACGAUGAGACCUUCUCACCCAUAGCGAUGCUUAAGUCUGUCCGAAUCAUGUUAGCAAUUACGGCAUUUUAUGAUUAUGAAAUCUGGCAAAUGGAUGUCAAAAUUGCAUUCUUUAAUGGGUUUCUCAAAGAAGAGUUGUAUAUGAUGCAACUAGAAGGUUUUGUCGAUCCUAAAGGUGCUAACAAAGUGUGCAAGCUCUAG